AGAGGUAUCUGGUGCUGAAUUUGGUAGGGUGGAUUAGGAUCCAAUCCCCCACAACUGCAAAUUGGGUUAAAUAAAGGGGUUACACCAACUUAUGUACCAGAGCCCCAUGCUUAAGAGCAUAAUCACUAACCGGUCACUUUACUAUGAGUAUGUACGGAUAACGGGCUUAAUGUGAUUGCACCUGAAUGAAAAGGACUUGAUGAAAACGAAAAGAAUGCCUAGGUAUGGUGGGGUAAUGUGGAUUGAUUUGUAUUAGAGUGAAAGGAAGGAAGGAGAGAAAAGAGAGAGAGAGAGAGAAAGUGGAUCUGAAUUCUGUUAUGUAUUGAUUCUGUUUGUUAUAUAUUUUUAUUCUGUUACAGUGAAUAGGAUAUAUAUAGGUAUUAUAACCUGUGCCACUACUGGACUUAACCUACACCACACACACUAACUAACUACACGUUAGUUAUGAUGACAUGGCACUCUAGAAUAUACACUAAUACUCCCCCACAAGUUCAAGGUGGCUGCAAAGUCAGGCUUGAGGCAGACAAGUUGAGCUUGCUUCUGAGCUCCAGAAAUCUUGAACUUCAAAGACUUCCCAUAAAGGAAAGUAUUUACGCUCUUGUCAUGAAUAGAUCAAAAUGAGUCUUGAGGUCAUUACAGGGAGAGCCAGCCGUUGAGGUUACAAAUGAAGGUGUUGAUGCUGCAGGGCAUACAAUUGGUACAUUUUUGGAGGUCGUGUUCAAACUUAGGAAGGUACCACACCUUUGCUAUGACCAUGUCAGUCUUGAGGUCCUUAGAGGGAUUUGUCAUUGUCUCAGCUUUACUCGAUACAACAUUGCUACAGUUCAUUUAAAAUUAUCCAUCUCCUUCUGCAAUCUAUAAGAAAAAUUGCACGGUUGACUUAAUAUACCCUUGUUAUGGUUUUAUGGAUAAUCUCUCAAUAUUUGAAUAUGCAAUUGUAAACUUGUCAUGAUCUGCGGGAGAAUAUAUAAGAUACUAUGUUCUUUUAUUUACAAUAUUAUUUUGAAUUCAUAACUUGACCG